GACGAACGCUGGCGGCGCGCCUAACACAUGCAAGUCGAACGAGCGAGAGAGAGCUUGCUUUCUCAAGCGAGUGGCGAACGGGUGAGUAACGCGUGAGGAACCUGCCUCAAAGAGGGGGACAACAGUUGGAAACGACUGCUAAUACCGCAUAAGCCCACAGGUCGGCAUCGACCAGAGGGAAAAGGAGCAAUCCGCUUUGAGAUGGCCUCGCGUCCGAUUAGCUAGUUGGUGAGGUAAUGGCCCACCAAGGCAACGAUCGGUAGCCGACCUGAGAGGGUGAUCGGCCACAUUGGAACUGAGAGACGGUCCAGACUCCUACGGGAGGCAGCAGUGGGGAAUAUUGGGCAAUGGGCGAAAGCCUGACCCAGCAACGCCGCGUGAGGGAAGAAGGGUUUCGGCUCGUAAACCUCUGUCCUAUGGGACGAAGGAAGUGACGGUACCAUAGGAGGAAGCCCCGGGCUAACUACGUG
rnacentral:rRNA from 1 species